rnacentral:misc_RNA from 1 species
UUGAAAUUACCGGCGAGGGUUGUAGCUGGCCUUUCGGGGCAUGUGCACACCCGAGCCUUUAAUCCAACAUACACCUGUGAACCCAAUGUAAGGGCCCGUAAAAAGGCCCCUACGUCUUUAUCACCAACUCUGUAUUCAUAGAAUGUAAUCCAUAUCUUCGCCUUAACAAGCGUUGGUAAAACUUAUA